ACAUGUGUAAAUAAAUACAUAUGUAUGUAUACAUAGGUACAUAUGUAUAUAUUAUUACAUAUAAUAACAAUGUCAGGUUAGAAUGAUUUGUUAUGUUAAUAUCAAUACCAUAUGAGUCAGAAUAAAAAAAUUUCAUUAAUGUUACGUAAAGACUAUCAACAGUUUACAGAACAAGAUUAUAAAGCACUCCAGAAAAUUUUUAAAGAUGCUCAUCGUUUACGUAGAUUCGCCUAUGUUUAUGUAAUGUAUAUCGUAAUUUCAAAAUUUUGUCACAUCAUUACAGUUACAAAUCGGCAACAAUUUCUUUCUAAAUAUCGAACAGUCAUUUUUCCUGUAUCAUAUUGUAUAACACACUACGCAACAGCUCCCAUAAUUAUGACUUCAAAGUACUUUAAAGGGUGCAAAGACCAUUACAAUGGCGUAACCAUUGAUUCGAAUGAAGAGUCUUGUAGCCCUGAAGCAUUGGCACCUCUUCUUGCAGCAUCUUUGCAGCAAUGGAUAAAAGAAAAAAGAAGGACAAUCUGGUUUCGUGUAUAUUUACCACAUUCAGAAUGGAUACCAAUACUUGUAAAAGAAGGAUUUAAGUUUCAUCACGCAAAGCAAGAGUAUGUUAUGCUUUAUCGAUGGUUAGUUACAGAUGAAGAAUGCGCUGUUCCACAUUAUGCUCAUACAAAUUUAGGUAUUGGAGGAUUUGUUUAUAAUGAAAAAACUACUGAACUCUUAGUGGUUAAAGAGAAGUAUGUUGAAAAAUCAGCAUUUUGGAAACUGCCAGGUGGUUAUGUAGACCCAGGAGAAAAUCUAGAACUAGCUGUAAAAAGGGAAGUCUUAGAAGAAACUGGUAUUCAAACCACUUUUAAAUGUCUGUUAGGUUUUAGACAUACUCAUAAUCAUGUUUUUGGUUGUUCUGACGUAUAUAUAGUUGCUUAUUUGUCUCCUAAUGACAAUAAAAUUAAAAAAUGUGAAAGAGAAAUUUCUAAAUGUCAAUGGAUGAAGAUAAGUGAUUAUCUAAAACAUUCAGAAGUACAUGAAAAUAAUAAAUUGGUUGCAAGAAAGAUGUUAGAAUUACUUGAGCAUAGAAUGGGAAUUGUAGUAGAAUAUACACAACAUCCUAUUACAAAGAAACCUAUCUCUGUCUAUACUAUAUCUAGAAUCAAUAGAACAUAGCAUUUAGUUGAAUUAAAAUAACUAAAAUAUAGAUAAUGCACAAACCACUUCAAAAAUAUGAACAGAAAAAUCCAUAUGUAUAAUAGUACCAAUAUUGACUUAUGUUUUUAAUGAUAAAAUUAAAAUUAUGACAAUAAAUAUAAAAAAAAGGUAUUCAAGAAAUUGUGAUAUAAGUAUGCCUCAGUUUCUGCGUUUUAUAUUGUCGACAAAUUCUGAAGUGUGAGUGCUAUUAUUUCCUUUCUGUCAACACUGAGUAAUACAGAAGUAUUACUAUCAAUAUAAUAUAUAGUGCUUAGUAGACAAAAUAAAGAAAACAUAAAGAUGUCAGAAUACGAUAAAGUGAGAACAGGAAAACUUGUCCUGAAGGGUGAAAAGAUAAGGU